rnacentral:tmRNA from 1 species
GGAUGCUGUCACGACGGGAGUGGCGUACCGAGGGUCCGGGUGGCCUCGUAAAAACCCGGAAACACCAUAACUGCCGAUAAGCAGUUCGCACUGGCUGCCUGAUAGCGUAGCCACGCCGACCGUCCUUCGUCUGCGGGGGCGGAAGGCGAUACACAGCAGACUGGUCGCCUCGGGAUGCUCUGCCCCGAACCGACGAGACAACAGCCGAGCUGGUCGACGCGUAGCCUGGCCGAUGGCGCCGCGAAGACGAGAUCAAAACGUCGGCCUACGCACGUAGAGGCUUCCGCCGGGGUGUCUCGGGACGGGGGUUCGAUUCCCCCCGCCUCCACCA